CUCCCUUUUCCUCCGCUACCUCCUCACCCUCUUGUUCAUUUUACUCCCACUUUUUGCACCCUUCGCGUUCGAGAAGCGCGCGCGCACAUCUACGUACGUACACACGCGUACACAUCUCCCACCACCCUUUUCGAUAUCCUUGCUCGUAGUGUUAGAGAAAGAGAGAGAGAGAGAGAGAGAGAGAGAAGGAGAGAGAGAGGAAAUUACCAUCCCCCGAAUGACGCGAGAGGGAGUUAGAGUUCCUAGCUUGUCCCCCACAGUUGCAGUGCGUUCCCAACACCCGUGAGACAACCUCGAACUGUCCCGACGUAAGCAACGAAAUACACGCACGUACGGAUCGACACUCACAUUCGCGCACAACGAGGGUCACGAAGAGACUCAAUUUUUUCGCGUUCUCGUUUACUCUUCCUUGGUCUCUCUCUCUUUCUCUCUCCUCUCUCUCUCUCUCUCUCUCUCUCUCUAUCUUUUGUACUGGCUAAUCCAACUAUACCUCGAGCUCCCUCUCAAACUUUGAGAGAGGAAAACAUUCGACUACAGUUUGAAUACGUGACGUUUAACGUUCGAAAGAGAGAUUUUUCCACUCUAUAUUUUAUCUUUCUCUUUCCUCAUAUCUGCCUUCGUAUUUUUCUUCAGGAUAUCUGUUUUUCCUUCUUUUAUCUUUUAUUCGCCUUUACUCCUUUCACCUUUUCUACCAAUUGAACUCGUGCGUUUCCUCAGUGCCCAGCGAUUUGCCGUAUCGUACAAAACAUACAGUCAGUGUAUUUUUUGUAUAGAAGUAUAUCGAAAAUUUUUCAGAAGAAAGCUGAUCGGACUAAAGAAUAUGAGAGUUCUGCAAGGUGAGAUCAGUUUAAAGUGCGCGUUUAUUGCAGUAUCUGAGCAAGUUUCCUAGCAUAGAAAAGUGUUUUUCCUUUGAAAGACAAAAAAGCGAGUUAGGAUGGAGUGAGAGAAAGAGAAAGAGAAAGAGAAAGAGAAAGAGAAAGAGAAAGAGAAAGAGAAAGAGAAAGAGAAAGAGAAAUAGAGAGAGAGAGAGAGAGAGAGAGAGAGAGAGAGAGAGAGAAGAAAGAAGAUGUAGCCAUAAGCUGUAAAUCCUGAGUCAGUUUCUUCGGUGGAAAGUUCCUAGAGAACGAAUCGGUGGUCAACAAAGAGAAUAUAAUUACAAGAAGCAAUUAUUCAAUCGCGCAAAAGGGAUGCUACGUCAUGAGGACAAGAGACACGAUCAAAAUCGAUGGAAGAAAAGAUAGCACAGAAGAAUAUCGUCGUGAUCGAAAACGUGGAUCCUGGUGAUUAUCGUUCUUCGCGGGAUUAACGACCUUGAGUGAUCUCGUGCUGGUGAUAAAAAACGAGGAACAGGAUAAACUCUGAGGUCGUGAACGUUUUUAAAUUCUUUCGAGUUUUCUCCAUGUUGUAUAGAUAUACACAUACAUAUACAUAUAGUACAAAGAAGAAAAAGUAAGUAGGAAAAAAAAGGACGUUGCUCGUUACGAGGUAAUGACUUUGUAAUCGCGUAAAUAGGUGUACAUAGAGAAAAUCGACGGGACCGAUCGGUUCGAUUUAUUCAUCGUAAAAUAGUCACGCUGAAAACGAUAUUACUUUGUAGCGUAAGCAAGAGAGAGAGGAAGAGAGAAAAAGAGACAAAAUUAUAGUCUCAUUCUUUUCGUCUUCCUUCCCAUAUCACUUCUUUUUCUUCCUUGUCCUUUUCUUCUUGUCUAUUUCGUAUUUCUGUCAUUUUAUCUUAUACCAGUAACCGAUAGAUCUCUACAUAAGUAUAUAACACGCUCGGUUAGCAUUUUAUGUGUGCGUCCAUAUAUAGGUGACUGUGCAUACAAUUACUGCAUACACAUAUACGCAUAUGUAUAUAUAUUACGAAUGUUCUGCUGCCCGUCGAACAUAUCGUUCGAGAAUCGAUCGAAUCACGGAUAUUUAGUGUGAAAGUUAUUCGAAUUUCGAAUUGGGAUUCGCGUGUUUUUCGUCGUGCAUACGCGAUCAAUAAAUAAUCUUUCUCGCGGUCUAUAAUUCUAUCAGCACACUUUUUCCGUUAUUCAAUUUCUUGUUGAUCUUCCUUUUACUUUAUAUAUAUAUUUAUAUAUAUAUAUAUAAAGUUAUAUAUAUAUAUAUAUAAAGUUAUAUAUAUAUUAUAUAUAUAUAUAUUAUAUAUAUAUGUGUGUAUAUGUGUAUACAGACACACACACACAUCACAAAGAGACACAUAAAUACAUACAUACGCACACACAUAUAUAUAUAUCGAAGCAUUUAUCUUCCAAUAUGAUUCGGAAAGCAGGUCGGAGCAGUACGGGUAUCCAACGCUUAGACUUUAGUCCCCGUGCGAUAAUUAAUUAUUAGCUCGCGGACGUCGUUAGUGCGAAUCAACGUACAAGUUAUUUCAAACGUCGAGACCUUUAAAUACGAAGAACCAAAAUUGUGAGAGAGAUAGAGAAACACAGUGUUUCGAUAAAUAAUCGGGCUUUCUUUAAUCAAAAAAGUCUUCUCUCUCUCUCUCUCUCUCUCUUUCUCUCUCUCUCUCUCUCUUUCUCUCUCUCUCUCUCUCUCUUUCACACGAUUCAGUAUAGUUCGUGUCAAAUAUCCAUGCCCGAGAUUAAUUUAAAGGAAAGAUUAGAAAGGGGGACCAAUUUUUCACGCGCAUUUUAAUCCUCUCUUUCUUCUUUCUACUUUACCAUACGACUACACAUUUGUGUAGUUUAAUCUUUACCCUCUCGAUCCUUUCAUACAUCCAUCCUACGCGCCGAAUGUUCAUCCCUCUCCUUUUGCUUUUUAUUCGCUUUCUUUAUCUCUUUAUCUCUCUUUCUCUCUCUCUCUCUCUUUCUUUCUCUCUCAUUUUCUAUAUGAAUACAUUUUUUUCGUUCGUUCGUAUUGAUACUGUCAUCGUGAGCCAGUGAAUUCUGCAGUCGCGAUUCACGCAAAGCAAUAACUAAAGGGCCAAUCUACGAUUAAGACAACGACAACGAUGAUGUAAAAAAACGAAGAGACGCAGAAAGAACAAAAAGAAAAAAGGAAGAAAGGCAGAGAAAUGAGGACACUUCGAUGCCUUCAUUGAGAAACAAUUCGCGUCACCGAGCGUCACUUACCGCCCCAGAUAUUAGCUUCAAAAUGAAAGAUCUCAUAAUUCUUAUGUAGACGAUGGUUCAACGUUUUAUUAAAUAAAAAAUUUAAUAUCUAUAAAAACACAAUCUCACGUAUUAGGUAAUAAAUCUGCACUCGAGGUGAAAGACGACGAGUAAAGGAGGAAUUUAAAAGGAGAAAGAGAGAAGGGGUGAAGGAGAGAAAGAGAGACUGGUUCGAUCUUCGAUAAGAAUGACAAUGUCGAAGCGGGCAUGACGGCGCUGACCUCGAGAUGCGACGAGACCACCACUCUCUUGCUAUUGUUAUUACUGGAAUUGGCACCUGGUGCAAGCUGUUAUCCGCGUUCCUCUAUCGGCGCGACAUUAGAGACGUCCUCCAACGACGGUGGUGCGUCGUCCCCCGACGUAAGUUCCUCAACCGCGACGAGAUAGCAUCCGCAGAGCACGGCGAGGGUGCGAGUGAUGAUUCCGCCACUUCUUGGGAACAUUAUGUUUAUCGACGACGCCGGUAGCUCGGCAACGGCGUCCACGAACGUCUUCGAGGAGAACAUGACGUGGUCUCGUUCGACAAUUGCCGGCUCAACGUCUUUUUCUACGAUCAGCGAAGCCACCUCGAAAAGCUACGAGGAAACGAGAGAAGAACGAGGGAGGACAGAAACGAUCACUCGCCUUGCCGAUUUUGCUGUCGGUUGGACCGACUGGAACGGCACCGAGCAAAUAGAGGAAAGUAGAAGAGAAGGGGAAAAAAACAAGUCGGUGGAAACUUCUAACGAUCCAAUCAAGGAGAUCGGUGAACAGCCGAGAGGAAGAGAUCCCCUCGGUUAUGCCUGCGAAAGGGAAGAUUCUUUGAUUUCCAGCGUCUCCGAUAGGAGCACUUUUGAGAUCUUCACUGGAGGUUCGAGCCUUGGCGUUGAUCUUCUCUUUAACGUAACCUCCGACACUAUGAAAGAUCUUGCCGUCUCUUCCUCCAACGACUCCAUCUUCAACGAGAGUCUACAGUAUACUUCGAAUAAAAGCUAUAAUAACGAGACCUUAAUCGUUUUUGGUGAUAGCAUGUAUCCAUCGGGAUAUACUUUGCCGCACAUCAUCCUAGCCUCGAUCGUGGCUACCCUUUUGAUGGUAGUAAUCGUCGUUGGUAACAUGCUUGUAAUAAUUGCGAUUAUGACGGAGAAAGCACUGAAGAAUAUUCAGAACUGGUUCAUCGCCAGUCUCGCUGUCGCAGACUUCUUCUUGGGUCUUAUCAUAAUGCCAUUCUCAUUAGCGAACGAGAUCAUGGGUUAUUGGAUCUUUGGCUAUUGGUGGUGCGAUAUAUACUCAGCGAUGGAUGUGUUACUCUGUACGGCCAGCAUCAUGAAUCUCUGUCUCAUAAGUCUCGAUAGGUUCUGGAGCAUUACUCAGGCAGUGGAUUACUUGAAGAAAAGAACACCGGCCAGGGCGGCACUUAUGAUCGCCCUCGUCUGGCUACUAUCCGCUCUCGUUUGUAUACCGCCAUUGCUUGGCUGGAAGAGGCCAACACCGGAAGAGGAUUAUCCCAAAUGCAAGCUCUCAGAGGACAUCGGUUACGUUCUGUACUCGGCUCUCGGGAGUUUCUACAUCCCCUCCUGCAUCAUGGUCUUCGUGUAUAUACGCAUCUAUUUCGCGGCGAAAGCUCGAGCGCGUCGCGGAAUUCGGAAACAUCCACGGCCACGGCCGAUGUCGGUGCCACCGGAAUCACCGGAUAUCAGACAGACAAGUUUCACGCACAGCACUCCGGCAACCGAAAUGAGAAGAUCGACAGCGAGUGCCGGAGGUAGCGCCGGGACGCUCCUGGAAAAUGUCGCAACGAUCGAAAAUCAACCAGUCCAAAUACCGAUCGUCACCUGCGACUUCGCCAGUGACGUCAGCACCUCCGAGGCCGAUCCUGCCGGUGGUAAUAAUAUACCUAUGGAGGAGAAAGACACCUUAAAGGUAACGAUACCCGUACCGGUUCAAAAGAGCAACCUAAAGGCAAGUUUGUCGGUAAACGGCGACGGUCAAUCGAGUCAGAGCGUGCCGGCACGAUGCAGAGCACCCAGUGUUGGCAUCGAUGUAGACAUGGUGUCGGAGUUUGAUCCUUCUUCGUCGGACAGUGGCGUCGUCUCGAGGUGUGCCGUGGUGAAGCCAUUAAAGCUGCGUCUUUGCCAGCCAAUUUUUGGUCGGAAGACAACUGGUAAGUUGAAGAGAGAGCAAGCAGAAACGUCUCAACACCAAGGAAAAGAAGAAAUCGUGAUCGAGCCAAAAUCGUCGAAACCACGCGAUCCGGAGCGAGAGAAGAGACGAUUAGCCAGAAAGAAGGAGAAACGAGCUACCCUCAUCCUUGGAUUCAUCAUGGGUAGCUUCAUCGCCUGCUGGCUACCUUUUUUCCUUCUUUAUAUCGUGAAACCCCUGUUCCCGAAUCUCGAUAUACCCAGCCAGGCAUUUGUCAUUGCCUUUUGGCUUGGUUACAUGAAUUCCGCUUUGAAUCCUUUUAUCUAUACGGUGUUCAACAAGGAUUUCCGUCGGGCGUUCCGUCGUAUACUUUUCAAAUGAAAGACAGCUUCUCUCCGUGAGGAUAACAAAUAGCAAAAUGUUCAAAUUCGAACUAAUUUCUUCUGCGGGAAAAGAUCGAAAUACCUACCUGAUCAAUCGGUUUCAAGAUCGAGAAGGAUCGAGGAAGGUUCUUGAGAAUGAAGCGUAAAACCUUCGGAGAGAAAUGAAAGGAAUUAUUUUAUUACGUUCUCUUAAACAAUGAAAUCUCAAGGAUACGUUCACAAAUAACAGCCGAUGGAUUCCAUAGCAAUGGAAUUUAUUGAAUCCUCUCGAUAGAACAAUGCCGGGAUGAAUAAUGAACGAGGCUAAUGCAAUAGUUUGGCAAAAUAAAGUGGAGACAGAGAGCAAAGAAGAUGGAGUCAAAUCAUUUACAAUUUCGGGGGAAUGAACUAUCAGCUACGAAUUCUUUCUCGUCUCAUCUUCGAUAAAUUCGAGAACAUGUGAACGACCACUAUGUACGACGAUUAUGUACGUGUACGUAGGUACUUGUUAUUUUCUCCUCAUUAAUCCUCUAAAGCUUCCUGGUUUUCUUUCUAAAUAUGUUUCUCACUCGUUUUCGUAAGUCAUCCUUUGAUGUAUCAAACAACAAGGUUCCACGAGAACGAUUUUCCUUUCAUUUCUUCCUCUUCAUGUCUUUAUUUUUGGAAUUUAUCUUUAUCCUUGAAUGGAUCACACUAUAUAAGGACACUUCACAGUCGCAAAUAGAUCCGGUUCUUUGCGCGUUUUAAUAUAUAUGAAUUUUUUUUCCUUAUCGAUUAUAACGUUUUGUACAAAUAUGAUUAAAAUCGCCUCACUUUAAUUUUCAACGUAGCGUACCAUUCUCUUGAUAGCCUUUAGAAUAUCUGAAAAGAAAAGGACGUAUCGUGAUUGACGGAUCGUCGAAUACGAGACGAGUGAAGGAAAGAGGGUGGAAGCCAAUAUGGAUUUCGGUGAUAAGGCUGUGGCACAUUCGUUGGUCGGAUUAUUAGCAUAGACGUGUUCGAUACAGCAUCUCUCAUCUGUUUUAUCUCUCCCUCUUUUCUCUUUCUUUUUGAAAAAUCUUGGAAUUUCAAGCAUACGAUAUCGGAAAAAUUGGCGUACUUCGCCCUCGAUUUUCAAUUAUUAUUCGUUUCUUUUUUCGUACACGUACAUAUGUACUUACGUAUCUUUGCAUGUGCUACGUGCAUUCAAGCAAUAUCUGUUUUAAUCUCAAUUCGUUUUUAAAACAUCGUUCGGUCGUUUCUAAUAAAAAAGAAAAAUAUACACAUGUAUAUAUGUAUAUAUAUAUAUGUAUGUAUAUAUGUGUGUAUGUAUAUAUACGAAGCGUGUUCUACUGGAUCGACGUCAAAAAAAUAUUUUUUACAAUAUCGCUUUUUUCGCCUUUCGCUUUUGAGGAUUCCCGAUGGAUGAUUUUGAAAGAAAAAUGGCAAGCUCGAACGAUUACAAAGGAUCUCUAAAUAAUAAUUUAACUUCGCGUACGGAUCAAACAAAGGUAAGACGUGAAAUUAACGCGUUAGAAAAUAACACGUUCAGAGGAGCAAACGAAAUGAUCGAUCGACUAUAAAACACGUUGCUGAGGUCGAGAAUGUUACUCUAAAAACACUUCAUCGAGAUAUAUCACGCUUUAAGAUUUUUCAGCGAGCCGAGACGAAGUUUUCGUUGGAGCUUACACGUUCGAAUGACUUUCCCAAACGACGGCGUUUCGAUGCUAUGCUUCGUAUCCAUCAAAAUGCAUUUUACGAUUAUAAAUUUGAUCGAUGACCAGUAGACUCGAACGAAAAAAUAGUGAGAUAGAGAGAAUAUUUCGUUAAAAAUCUUUCUCUUUCUCUUCGAUCUUUAUUUUCUUAGUUCUUUUUAUUAUAUUUUUCUAUUUGACUUUUAAGUAAUUAAAAAAUUGAUAGCACGUAAUACGAGACGACCGGGAUUAAUGAAAAAAACAACUAUUAUUUCGAGAAUAAUAUCUAUUAAAAAUAGAAAAGAACGAAGUACUCUCACAGUUUGGUUUUUAAGAAAACGUUAUGUGUUCGUCGAUCUAGAUUUAAGUGAUAAUUAAAGGAUAAGGACUAACGCAUAAAAAAUUAAAGUUGAUAGAAGGAAAGAAAAACGGUAAAACUUUCUUGACAAAUUUCGAUGAGAUACAAUUGUAAUUAUAUUUACGCAAGAACGCAAUUGCUUACGAACUAUGAUUAUUUGAUAUGUGUACUAACAAUAAGUUCGUCGCCUUAGGCCGGACUGAUCAAAUCUCUUGCAAACGGGAUUUAAAAAAAUCUUUUCUCUGUAUGUGUGUCAGUAAGUAUUAAAAAGAUAUUUACAAUUAAUCUACAACAACCAAAACGAAGAGGUAAAACUCGAAUAACGUUACAUAAAGAAUUAAUAUAAGACUAUUCCGAUCAGAUAUUAAUAAACAAAGAUAAUACAAAGGAAUAUAUUAAAUAUAUUAUUAUAAAUUACAUUACAUAAAGCCAUCGCGCGUAUUGUCCUAAAAUAAUAACGAAAAGGAAAACAAGGGGAUAAAAACAUUAAUAAUAAUAAUAAUAAUAAUAAUAAUAAUAAUAAUAAUAAUAAUAAUAAUAAUAAUAAUAAUAAUAAUAAUAGUAAUAUAGUACUAAUAAUAAUAAAAUAAUAAUAAUAAUAACACAAUUACAAUAACAAUAAUAUUAAUACUAAUAAUAAUGAAAUCUAAUAAUAAUAAUAAAAUAAUAAAUAAUAAUAUAACAAUACGAUCAUUACUGUUACUUGUAAUCACAAAUAAUACGUUACACACGAAGUACUAUACACGUACACGAUUUAUCUUAAAAGGGAAAACAAAGGGAAACGAUUUACAAACGAUUGUACACAUACGUAUAUUACAUAAUUAUUGAUUACUAUUAUUGAUACUAUUGUCAUUAUCGUAAUGUUAUAUUAUUACAUGUUAUCAUUUUUAUUAAUAUCAACUAAUCAAAGUCGCAAAUAGGGAUUCAAGGAUUUAUCUUGAUUAAUAUUUCCAUUGAAGUACGUGCGUGCCCUCUGAACUUUAACCUCCGCCGUGACGUACAACCUUCAGAACUUUGCGGUUUGCGCGAGAUCAUCGUUAAAUUUCUUAAAGAACGCUCCACUUCGAAGUUUAAUCUUCUAUCAAAAAAAGUAAUAAUUACGAUACUAAUAACGAUCAUCGAUUGAAAUUUCAUUUUUUUAUUCAUAUAUUUAUAACAUUCUUUUGAAUAGAUUUUGUAAUAAACACGACGAUACAGAACUUUUUAAAAUCUUCCUUCGUUAUAUUUUACUUUAAAUUAUAACGAUUCGACGUCUUUAAAAAUCUUUUUCCAUGAUCUCGUGCAGGGCACCGAAAAACUAAACUCUAUCGAUAAUAUUGGAGCAAUGAAAUCACUGUGAUAUCACUAAAACGCUUUCAAGGUGUGUGUGUGUGUGUUUUGAAGGAUCGACAAUCGACAAACCUUCACGGAAUUGUCGUAGACAUUAUUAAGUUAUUGAAAUAAAACAGGGACAAGAGAGAAAGAGAGAGAGAGAGAGAGAGAGAGAGAAAGAUAGAAAAAAGACAAAGAGAAUUUAUGAUAUUGACUACCGUAAAUUUAUUGUGAACUUAUAUUAUUAAUUGGAGAAGAAUCUAUAUAUAUAUAUAUAUAUAUAUAUAUAUAUAUAUAUAUGCAUAUAUAAUAUAUUAAAAAUUAAUAUAAGUAUAAUUAUUAUAUCAUUAAAGAUUGCUAUCACCGUACAAUUAUUACCAUCAUUGUUAGUUUCACUAAUAUCAAUAACAAAAAAAACACUCCUAUUGUCUAAAUAGUGUUGAUUGUCUGUUAUAGAGAAUGUGAGAAGGUUAAACUAAAAAAAAAAGUAAAAAAAAAAUAA